rnacentral:rRNA from 1 species
AUUGAACGCUGGCGGCACGCUUUACACAUGCAAGUCGAACGGUAACAGGGAGCUUGCUCCGCUGACGAGUGGCGAACGGGUGAGUAAUGCAUCGGAACAUGCCCAGUCAUGGGGGAUAACUACGCGAAAGCGUAGCUAAUACCGCAUACGCCCUGAGGGGGAAAGUGGGGGAUCUUAGGACCUCACGUGAUUGGAGUGGCCGAUGUCAGAUUAGCUAGUUGGUGAGGUAAAGGCUCACCAAGGCGACGAUCUGUAGCGGGUCUGAGAGGAUGAUCCGCCACACUGGGACUGAGACACGGCCCAGACUCCUACGGGAGGCAGCAGUGGGGAAUUUUGGACAAUGGGCGCAAGCCUGAUCCAGCCAUGCCGCGUGAGUGAAGAAGGCCU